rnacentral:lncRNA from 1 species
UUUGAGCUAACCCAUGUGAAGGAUCUCCGACUGUGUUCCAUUGCCUGGCCUCGAAAAUCCUGGAUCACCCAAGAAGGUCAUGUAUGUUGAGAACAAGCUGAUCAGGAGCAUCCUACAUUACAUGUUACGAACCCCAUGGGAGGUUUCUGCCAGCCCGCUCAUUAUCCAAUACUCUGGUUGCACUUUUUUCUUCUUGAUCUUUCUGAAUGAGCUUAAACCAAAUGGAAGAUUCCUCAGCUGCUUUGGAGAAGAUGGUAGCUGCCGAGAAUCUUUUAUGUUCAAAACAGAAGCUAUUCCUUCCUUUUCAUAGGUGCCAGAGUAUCCAAGGGAAAUGUAGCUUCUCAGAUUGUCCAAUUCUUUGAUUUUUACUAA